rnacentral:lncRNA from 1 species
UCAAUUGAGCUUUAUAUUACUGCUUUGAAUUCUUGUAUGCUCUUGUCCUUAAAAUUAUUUGCAUUCUUGAAAACUAUUGUGUAACGUUUAAGCUAUAUCGUAUUGACUCAUAUAGGCACAUGUAUAUCCCAUGGUUCCGCAUUUGCUUUCGAUAUGUGCCUAUUCCAGUUUCAUUCCUUUGGACAUUGAAUUCAUCUAACUUUCUUAUUUGAAUUGAG